rnacentral:rRNA from 1 species
GAUGAACGCUGGCGGCGUGCCUAAUACAUGCAAGUCGAGCGAACACACGAUGAGCUCUCUCCUUUGACGUUAGCGGCGGACGGGCGAGUAACACGUACAUCACCUACUUCUAAUACUGGGAUAAAUUCGGGAAACCGGAUAUAAUACUAGCUAAUAUAUCCUACCGAUUGGUUCAAUAGUUAAACACGCUUUUCCUGUCUCCUUUAGCUGAUUUCGCGUCGGAUUAGCUACUUGGUAAGGUAACGGCUCACCAACGCUACGAUGCGUAGCCGACCUGAGAGGAUGAUCAGCCACACUGGAACUGAGACACGGUCCAGACUCCUACGGGAGGCAGCAGUGGGGAAUAUUCGACAAUGGGCGAAAGCCUGACGGAGCAAUGCCGCGUGAGUGAUGAAGGUCUUCGGAUUGUAAAGCUCUGUUAUUAGGGAAGAAAAAAAGUAGAAUAAACCACGGACGUUUUGACGGUACCUAAUCAGAAAGCAACGGCUAACUUCGUG